rnacentral:rRNA from 1 species
UACGUAGGCAGCAAGCGUUGUUCGGAGUUACUGGGCGUAAAGGGUGUGUAGGCGGUUGUUUAAGUUUGGUGUGAAAUCUCCCGGCUCAACCGGGAGGGUGCGCCGAAUACUGAGUGACUAGAGUGCGGGAGAGGAAAGUGGAAUUCCUGGUGUAGCGGUGAAAUGCGUAGAUAUCAGGAGGAACACCGGUGGUGUAGACGGCUUUCUGGACCGUAACUGACGCUGAGAGACGAAAGCCAGGGGAGCAAACGGG